rnacentral:rRNA from 1 species
AGAGUUUGAUCCUGGCUCAGGACGAACGCUGGCGGCGUGCCUAAUACAUGCAAGUCGAGCGAGCUUGCCUAGAUGAUUUUAGUGCUUGCACUAAAUGAAACUAGAUACAAGCGAGCGGCGGACGGGUGAGUAACACGUGGGUAACCUGCCCAAGAGACUGGGAUAACACCUGGAAACAGAUGCUAAUACCGGAUAACAACACUAGACGCAUGUCUAGAGUUUGAAAGAUGGUUCUGCUAUCACUCUUGGAUGGACCUGCGGUGCAUUAGCUAGUUGGUAAGGUAACGGCUUACCAAGGCAAUGAUGCAUAGCCGAGUUGAGAGACUGAUCGGCCACAUUGGGACUGAGACACGGCCCAAACUCCUACGGGAGGCAGCAGUAGGGAAUCUUCCACAAUGGACGAAAGUCUGAUGGAGCAACGCCGCGUGAGUGAAGAAGGGUUUCGGCUCGUAAAGCUCUGUUGGUAGUGAAGAAAGAUAGAGGUAGUAACUGGCCUUUAUUUGACGGUAAUUACUUAGAAAGUCACGGCUAACUACGUGCCAGCAGCCGCGGUAAUACGUAGGUGGCAAGCGUUGUCCGGAUUUAUUGGGCGUAAAGCGAGUGCAGGCGGUUCAAUAAGUCUGAUGUGAAAGCCUUCGGCUCAACCGGAGAAUUGCAUCAGAAACUGUUGAACUUGAGUGCAGAAGAGGAGAGUGGAACUCCAUGUGUAGCGGUGGAAUGCGUAGAUAUAUGGAAGAACACCAGUGGCGAAGGCGGCUCUCUGGUCUGCAACUGACGCUGAGGCUCGAAAGCAUGGGUAGCGAACAGGAUUAGAUACCCUGGUAGUCCAUGCCGUAAACGAUGAGUGCUAAGUG